AUAAUAAGAGCAGCAUGUAUACUAAAAUUGGAAGGAUACAGAGAAGGUUAGCAUGGCCCCUGCACAAGAGUGACAUGCAAAUUUGUGAAGCGUUCCAUAUUUUU